CGCAUACGAAAUACUUUUGGUAUACAAAUGGUAUACAAAAAUUUCUUCUUUUCUUAAUUAUAGUAUAGUUUAUUAUAGUUAUUCCAUAUACGCCCUCCUGCUUUUUUGUUUUAUUCUAUGGGAGUCGCCACGACAAAGGAAGGAGGAAAUAGAAUAAUCUAACAUGUUUUGUUCGAAUAAACAUUCCAAAAGACUUCAGUUGUAUUAAAAAAGGAAUUAGCAAGUUCCUCCCCCCAUGCCGAGAAAACAUUUAUUCUUUAU
rnacentral:lncRNA from 1 species